rnacentral:rRNA from 1 species
CCUACGGGUGGCAGCAGUAGGGAAUAUUGCUCAAUGGGGGAAACCCUGAAGCAGCAACGCCGCGUGGAGGAUGAAGGUUUUCGGAUUGUAAACUCCUUUUGUUAGAGAAGAUAAUGACGGUAUAUAAAGAAUAAGCACAGGCUAAAUCCGUGCCAGCAGCCGAGGUAAUACGGAGGGAGCAAGCGUUAAUCGGAAUCACUGGGCGUACAGAGCGCGUAGGCGGGAUAGCAAGUCAGAUGUGAAAUCCUAGGGCUUAACCAUAGAACUGCAUUUGAAACUGUUAUUCUAGAGUAUGGGAGAGGUAGGUGGAAUUCUUGGUGUAGGGGUAAAAUCCGUAGAGAUCAAGAGGAAUACUCAUUGCGAAGGCGACCUGCUAGAACAUAACUGACGCUGAUGCGCGAAAGCGUGGGGAGCAAACAGGAUUAGAUACCCUUGUAGUC